AGCUCCAAUAGCGUAUACUAAAGUUGUUGCGGUUAAAAAGCUCGUAGUUGGAUCUUGGAAUGUGUUCAAGCGGGUCAGCUUCUGGCUGUUCGCUGCUUGACGUGUUCUUCUAUUUGGUUUUGGUGCGGUGCGCUUAACUGCGUGUCGCUCCCGGCCGAAACGUUUACCUUGAAAAAAUUAGAGUGUUCAAAGCAGACCUGUUUGAGUCUGAAUAUUCGUGCAUGGAAUAAUGAAAUAUGAAUUCGGUUCUAUUUUGUUGGUUUUCGGAACUCGAGUUAAUGAUCAAGAGGGACAGACGGGGGCAUUCGUACUCUGCCGUUAGAGGUGAAAUUCUUGGAUCGGCGGAAGACGCGCAACUGCGAAAGCAUUUGCCAAGAAUGUUUUCUUCA
rnacentral:rRNA from 1 species